CUUCUCACGUACGUUUCUUCAAACCACCGUCUCUCUCUCUCUCUCUAUUCUUUUUCCAUUUUAUUUCAUCUUCCAUACACGCUCAUUAUUCACAUUCAUCUUCCACCACUUUCUCUCUCAUCUUGAUUUUAAGAAAAUACUGAUUCCAAUUUUAGGGUUCUUCCAUUCCAGUAUUGUUGAUUGCAUCUAUGGCGAUUUUCAGAAAACCCUCAUUCCUUUGGUUUAGGCGUUAAAAAUCUAUUCCUUUUAUCAUACGCUUUUGAGCGGAUGAUCUCUGUAACCAGACUUUCUUUUUUUACUUCUCCCCUUUUCUUUCAAUCAUCUUACAAUCACCAAAUCUAAACCUCAGCCGUAUCCUACUUUGGCGCCUUCAUAUGACAAUUUCAAAUACAUCGAUUUCAUCUUCAAAGAAACCAAGUAAGUUUAUAAAUGAAAUCUUGAAUGUGUUCAGAAAUUAGGGUUUUUUUUAUGAUGGUGAUGAUUAUGAUAAUAUGAGAACUUGGAAUUUGAUUCUUCAAUCUUGAUUCGUCUGAUUUUGUUUAUCUUUCACGUGCUUUAAACUGAGUUUGACGGGUCUGGUACUGGUAGUCGCCGGUGUGUUUGGUUUUGUUUGUUGGCUAUUGUUCUGAUUGAAGAAGGAUGAAGAGAAAGAAACACUUUGGUAGUUGCACCAUUAGAAAUUGCAAGUCAGUGAAACACUUUGGUAGUUACAUCUAUACUAUGCGAUUCUCAUCAAAGUGAUUAUCGAAACCCUAAAUUGGAACCAGUCGAGGCAAAUCUAGGUGGUGUUUGCAAUUGAAAAUCUUGCUAAAUUUCAAAACAAUAUGGCGAAUAGUCAUGUGAUUCUUCAACAAGAUCUGAAGGAUGUCAAACUAUGGCAGGUUCACACUCUGUUAAAGGGUUUAGAAAAUAUAGCUGCCAGUUCAGAUAUGCCAAUGUUAGUUUGUGGGGACUUUAAUUCUAUUCCUGGAAGUGCUCCUCAUGCGCUUUUAACAAUUGGGAAAGUUGACCCAUUGCAUCCUAAUUUAGUAGUUGACCCUCUCGGAAUUCUUCGUCCCACUACAAAGUUGACUCACACUCUGCCCUUGGAUAGUCGCAACAACGAGAAGUGGUUGUGCAUAUCUCCAAUGAACAAGAAGAAGAGGAUGUGCUUCUCUUUAGUCAAUAAGAAGAAGAGGUUGUGGUUCUCUUCAAUAUAGUUCAGCGGCAAAAGAAGAAUAAGAUGCCAGCAUCUUCAACAUAUAAGAAGAGAAAGGUUUGACAAGCGAAUCACGUCUUUUGCAGAAGAAAAGUUUCACAGAGAUCGUAAUAAUAUCUGAUGACAAGGGUGAUGGUUGUGAAAGUUUCGUAUAAAGAAAUUUCACCCAUGACCACAUACCGAUUCGACUCUUUGGAGUUUCAACUGGAUCCAUUGCUUAGAGCAACAUGUCAUGCUGAUGGUGAUGUUAAUUAUGAAACUGGCUAUUUUUCAUACCACCCUUGAAACAUAAACCAAGUAUAUUUCAGUUGAUUUUUGAGCUUGGUCCUUACAUUGAUGAGCUAUCAAAAAACUGGUGGCGCUAUAAAGGAGUUCGGUAACCCCAAGUAACUAAUUUUCUAUAUUUUCCCUAAUAUUCUAUAGGUUAUGAGUUUUGUUAGUUUGACCAUAAAUGUCAAAAUAGCGAUUCAAAAUCCUUACAUAAUCAAAUACAACGGAACUACUCAGUGACUAAAAUGUAUAUGGAGAAGGGACAGUUUGAAAGGAAUGUUUAAAGGAAAUGGCACCAAUUGUGCACGCAUCGUCCCAAACACUGUUGUCAGGUUCUUUAGCUAUGAAGAGGCAUCCAAGGGAAUCUUGGGCUAUAUCGACGGCAACCUGGAAAUGAGGAUACUGAACUCAUCCCUCUAUUACGCUCGGAGCUAGCGUUUGCGCUGGAAUAAUUGCCAUGUCAACAACCUUCUUAUAAUGGACUUGGUUCGACGAUGUCUUACUGUCAAGGCACUCUGGGCGCGCGCCUAGGCGCUCAGUCGAGACAAGGCAAGGGUAAAGCGCCUGGUGGUGACCAAAGUGACCAUCUGCAACUUUCUUAAGAAAGCAAAGCUCAGGCGCUCAGCCUGGUGCCAGGCACAGGCGCAAAGAGGCGAUGGUUUCAAACAAAUUAGGCGCCAUUUGAUUUUUCAGACCAAGAAUCUGCAGAAAAGACUUAUAAAUCUCCUAGCCACUAGCAAGUAUGGAGGAAUUGCACAUGCUCUUGCUACAGUACUCCGUGAAGAAGGCUUGCAUGCAUUAUACAAAGGAUGGCUUCCUUCUAUCAUUAGUGUUAUCUUUAGCUGUUGGUUUGAUGGUUUACAACUGAGACGAACACUAGCUAACUGAUGUAGGGUUUCGGAAAUGGUCGGAUGUCCAGUUUUGGUUCCGGCAACUCCGAUGCAGGUCUGUAGUCAAAUUUUUAAACCACAACAUUGGUCUGAACAAUAGAUUUGAUUGUUUGGGAUGAUAGCCCUCAUAGGGUUUCUGUGAUUGGGGUUAAAUGUAGUGCAACAACAUGACAACGGCAGUGGCAAGCUAGGGUUUGUUUACUUUUAUUAGUGAGUGGUUCGACUGAAGAUGCUUUGCUGAAGCGAUAGCAAAUCAUUAGUUAGAAGUUGAUCGUUGCUUCAUGGAAGUCAAUUGGCAAAGGUACAUAAAAAGUCCAUCUUAUCAUGUCAAGAAAAGUGUUUACGGGUCAAUUCAACCCGGUACAACCUAUUUUAAUAUGUAUUAGAAAAUGACUAUUUCUAACCUGUCAAGUGACCGCCCCGUCCAUCUUACCACCUCUCCUAAAACUAAAUAUGCUAAUAUCACAAAUUACUCUUUCAAUGAUAUUACACUUCCAACUAAAAUUCAUUUAUCCUCUAUGCAGUUAGUGCGGUAAAAUAUCGGAUAUCUUGACCGAAUUUGAGAUAUAGGUUAUCUCGGAGAGAUAUUGGUGGGGUAUGGUGAUUUUAAUAUAAUAAGGAAUUUAUAUAUAUAGCAAUUUAACACUAAUAAUUGAGUGAUAUAUCGGCUAUAUCGGUCAAACAUCGGUGAUAUCGGUCAAUAUCGCCUAUAAUAUCAGUACCGAUAUUUUGACUGAUAUUUUACUAGAGGACCGAUAUGACCGAUUUAACCGAUAUUAACUGCAUAGCUUAUCCUUUAAUAUUGUUUUUUUUUUUUGAAUUUAGCCUUUCUACAACCUGGGAAGUUUUUUAUUUUCAAACGUAGAACUCAUUAUUGUGUAGUAGGAUAAAGGGGGUGUUUGAAUAUGUUGGUGUGAAGCAAAUUUCUCAUUGGUAUCACUGAACCUAAAAAGAUUUGCAUCCUUGCUGAAAGGGUACUUCUUUCCUUUUUGUAUUUAUCUUGGGCGUUUCAUUCGUUGAUUUCAAGUAAUUAAAAUAUGUGUUGCAUUUGAUUGAAAAAAUAAUAAUGUCACUUUGUUUUGCGCAAUCUUUGUGGCAAUUAAUUUCACAGUGGUGCAAGAUACCCUCAUUUUAUGCUUUCCGUGUGAAGGAUUUGUUAGGAAUGCACAGGUACUUCAAAGUGUCGAAGAAGAAAGCGAGUACAUGCUAUCGUUUUAUAAUUAUUGUUUUUCGUCAUACCUAUUUAUAAUUACAUUUGAUGAGUUAUCAUUUUGAAUCAUUUAAAUGUCAAUUUUUUUUCUUUUGUUGCGGCAGUCUAUGAACGUUGUGUUGUAAUUCGGGUCGUGAUAAAACUGUGCGUACAUGUUUGGUCUACUUUGUACACAUAUUGUAUAUAACACACGUACAGUGGGGUUAUGGGUUUCGAGCCACGGUGGUUGUGGUCUAUAGACACCGAUCUGUGGCAAAUGGGCUUGGUCAUGUAAUGGGUCAUAAAAAGAAAUAAACCCGAUGAGCCGAAGCCAUAACGUCCAAGUCACAUUUCAUAUUCAUUUAUUUUAAUUAAGUGUAAUUUUAUAUUUA